rnacentral:rRNA from 1 species
GACAGAGGAUGCAAGCGUUAUCCGGAAUGAUUGGGCGUAAAGCGUCUGUAGGUGGCUUUUCAAGUCCGCCGUCAAAUCCCAGGGCUCAACCCUGGACAGGCGGUGGAAACUACCAAGCUGGAGUACGGUAGGGGCAGAGGGAAUUUCCGGUGGAGCGGUGAAAUGCAUUGAGAUCGGAAAGAACACCAACGGCGAAAGCAGCUACUGCUGGGCCGACACUGGACCACUGAGAGACGAAAGCUAGGGGAGACAAAU